AAGGACAGCUUACACAUGCAAGUCGAGCGGUAGCACAGGGGAGCUUGCUCCCUGGGUGACGAGCGGCGGACGGGUGAGUAAUGUCUGGGAAACUGCCUGAUGGAGGGGGAUAACUACUGGAAACGGUAGCUAAUACCGCAUAACGUCGCAAGACCAAAGAGGGGGACCUUCGGGCCUCUUGCCAUCAGAUGUGCCCAGAUGGGAUUAGCUAGUAGGUGGGGUAAUGGCUCACCUAGGCGACGAUCCCUAGCUGGUCUGAGAGGAUGACCAGCCACACUGGAACUGAGACACGGUCCAGACUCCUACGGGAGGCAGCAGUGGGGAAUAUUGCACAAUGGGCGCAAGCCUGAUGCAGCCAUGCCGCGUGUGUGAAGAAGGCCUUCGGGUUGUAAAGCACUUUCAGCGAGGAGGAAGGUGGUGAACUUAAUACGUUCAUCAAUUGACGUUACUCGCAGAAGAAGCACCGGCUAACUCCGUGCCAGCAGCCGCGGUAAUACGGAGGGUGCAAGCGUUAAUCGGAAUUACUGGGCGUAAAGCGCACGCAGGCGGUUUGUUAAGUCAGAUGUGAAAUCCCCGGGCUCAACCUGGGAACUGCAUUUGAAACUGGCAAGCUAGAGUCUCGUAGAGGGGGGUAGAAUUCCAGGUGUAGCGGUGAAAUGCGUAGAGAUCUGGAGGAAUACCGGUGGCGAAGGCGGCCCCCUGGACGAAGACUGACGCUCAGGUGCGAAAGCGUGGUGAGCAAACAGGAUUAGAUACCCUGGUAGUCCACGCUGUAAACGAUGUCUAUGGAGGUUGUGCCCUUGAGGCGUGGCUUCCGGAGCUAACGCGUUAAAUCGACCGCCUGGGGAGUACGGCCGCAAGGUUAAAACUCACAUGAAUUGACGGGGGCCCGCACAAGCGGUGGAACAUGUGGUUAUUCAAUGCACCGCGAAGACCUACCUACUCUGACCUCCCAGAAAUUUCAAAAUAUUUGUUCCUUCGAAAAUCUGAAAAAGUACCGCAUGGUUGUCCUCGC
rnacentral:rRNA from 1 species